UUCCAGGAGGAGGAUAUAAAUCACCAUCUUCUUAACAUUUCUAGAAUUCUGUCAACAAUAGUUGGUGGUAAAUAUAGAGAUAACGUCCUCUAUCAAUUUGAAAAAGUUAAAACAGUCGCUGCAAAACAUUGAAUCGAAAGACCCUCAUACAAGUCAUGAUGAAUCUAAAACAGUUACAUCGGAAGAAAAAAUUGACGAAGUAUCUACAUGUAGAUUAAACGAUGCAUUACUGCUGUCUUUGGCAUUAUCAGAUGUAUUCGAUGACAUUGGUGUUAAUGAAAAAAACGUUAUGAAGGAAAGGAAAGCCGUUGAAUCCCUUAGAAAUAUAUCAGGAAAGGCACACGAAAGGAUUUAUCUCUCUGGGAGCCAUUCAGAAGGUACAACAACUUCAGGAUUAGAUUCAGACUUGGAUGUUUACAUGCCAAGGAAUGACAUUUGUUUGAAUCAGUCUUGCGAUCAAAAGAAACAUAAAGUGUUUCAUGCCAUUCUUGUACAAAAUGAAAAUAUGCCUCCGGGGCAUUAUUAUUUGCAAAAAGAAAUGUUGAAUAUUUGCUCUAAUUAUGUCCAUACAGCUCCUUGCCAUAUUAACGUUUGUAUACCCUGCUAUGACAGGCGGGUCAAGAUUGGUUCUAAGGCUUUUCUAAAACCAGAAUUGAAGAAAUAUUUACAUGACAAAGAAUGU